UACGUAGGGGGCAAGCGUUGUCCGGAAUCGAUUGGCGUGAAGAAGCGUGUAGCGGCCCGGUAAGUCCGCUGUGAAAGUCAAAGGCUCAACCCGUUUGAAUGUCAGCGGAUACUGCCGGGCUAGAGUCCGGAAGAGGCGAGUGGGAAUUCCGUGUGUAGCGGGUGGAAUGCGCAGAUAUCAGGAAGAACACCCGUGGCUGAAGGCGGCGUCUCCUAGUACGGUACUGACGCUGAGACGCGAAAGCGUGGGGAGCGGAACAGG
rnacentral:rRNA from 1 species